rnacentral:rRNA from 1 species
GAUGAACGCUGGCGGCGUGCUUAACACAUGCAAGUCGAACGGUGAAGCAGAGCUUGCUCUGUGGAUCAGUGGCGAACGGGUGAGUAACACGUGAGCAACCUGCCCCUGACUCUGGGAUAAGCGCUGGAAACGGCGUCUAAUACUGGAUAUGAGCUGCGCCCGCAUGGGCAGCAGGUGGAAAGAUUUUUCGGUGUGGGAUGGGCUCACGGCCUAUCAGCUUGUUGGUGAGGUAAUGGCUCACCAAGGCGUCGACGGGUAGCCGGCCUGAGAGGGUGACCGGCCACACUGGGACUGAGACACGGCCCAGACUCCUACGGGAGGCAGCAGUGGGGAAUAUUGCACAAUGGGCGGAAGCCUGAUGCAGCAACGCCGCGUGAGGGAUGACGGCCUUCGGGUUGUAAACCUCUUUUAGCAGGGAAGAAGCGAGAGUGACGGUACCUGCAGAAAAAGCGCCGGCUAACUACGUG